GACGUAGGGCGCGAGCGUUGUCCGGAUUUAUUGGGCGUAAAGCGCACGUAGGCGGAUCUUUAAGUCAGGGGUGAAAUCCUGGAGCUCAACUCCAGAACUGCCUUUGAUACUGGGGAUCUCGAGUCCGGAAGAGGUGAGUGGAACUCCGAGUGUAGAGGUGAAAUUCGUAGAUAUUCGGAAGAACACCAGUGGCGAAGGCGGCUCACUGGUCCGGUACUGACGCUGAGGUGCGAAAGCGUGGGGAGCAAACAGG
rnacentral:rRNA from 1 species